rnacentral:lncRNA from 12 species
AUGCUGGCGGAUGUGCUGUUGCGGGUCUCUUGGGCUAUAAAUAUCCUCCUGGCUCAGAUGAAGGAUUCAGCUGCAGCUGCCACAGCAAGUGCCCUGCUGGCACCACUGGAAGUCCUCAGACGUUUUAUUUGGAAUCUCUUUCGGCUGGAAAAUGAGCAACUGAAAAAUUGUGAGAAUUGUUGUGCUGUUCGAGAUUUCUGCAACAUCUGGAGGCAUCUGGAAAAGGAUCAGAAUGUGCUAUCUAAAGACUAUCACAAAAUCGGCACGCGUGCCACAAUAUGCUGUUUACCUCUCCCAAAACACAGGGUAAAGGAGACGAAACUGCCUGUUGGGGGAACAGAUGCAGAGAUUCAUCUAUGCAUUUAA